CCCACGUGAAGCGCUACGCUAGCAUCGCUCGGCUGGCGGCUCCCAGCUCGCCGCGGAGCAGUCCCGGCAGCAGCGGGGGACCGGAAGUGGCUCGCGGAGGCUCAGAAGCUAGUCCCGGAGCCCGGCGUGUGGCGCCUCGGAGCACGGUGACGGCGCCAUGUCCCUAAUCUGCUCCUCUCUAACGAAGUGCCGGAGCACCCAUGUGUAUCCCCUGUCUCUAAUCAUGUUUAUGAGCGGCGGCUCAUCGAGAAGUACAUUGCGGAGAAUGGUACCGACCCCAUCAACAACCAGC
rnacentral:lncRNA from 10 species